UACGUAGGUGGCAAGCGUUGUCCGGAUUUACUGGGCGUAAAGGGCGCGUAGGCGGCCACCGCAAGUCGGUUGUGAAAUCUCCGGGCUUAACCCGGAAAGGUCAAUCGAUACUGCGGGGCUAGAGUGCAGAAGGGGCAACUGGAAUUCUCGGUGUAGCGGUGAAAUGCGUAGAUAUCGAGAGGAACACCUGCGGCGAAGGCGGGUUGCUGGGCUGACACUGACGCUGAAGCGCGAAAGCUAGGGGAGCGAACGGG
rnacentral:rRNA from 1 species